AUUGAACGCUGGCGGCAGGCCUAACACAUGCAAGUCGAACGAGUGGCGGACGGGUGUGCAAUGUCUGGGAAUCUGCCUGGUGGAGGGGGAUAACUAGUGGAAAGGGUAGCUAACACCGCAUACCAUCAGAUGUGCCCAGAUGGGAUUAGUGAGUAGGUGGGGUAAUGGCCCACCUAGGCGACGAUCCCUAGCGGGUCUGAGAGGAUGACCAGCCACACUGGAACGGAGACACGGUCCAGACUCCUACGGGAGGCAGCAGUGGGGAAUAUUGCACAAUGGGCGCAAGCCUGAGGCAGCCAUGCCGCGUGUGUGAAGAAGGCCUUCGGGUUGUAAAGCACUUUCAGCGAGGAGGCGUUACUCGCAGAAGAAGCACCGGCUAACUCCGUGCCAGCAGCCGCGGUAAUAC
rnacentral:rRNA from 1 species